CAGUCGCCGCGGGAAUACAGAGGGUGCGAGCGUUAAUCGGAUUUACUGGGCGUAAAGCGUGCGUAGGCGGUUACUCAAGUCAGAGGUGAAAGCCCGGGGCUCAACCCCGGAACUGCCUUUGAAACUAGGUGACUAGAAUCUUGGAGAGGUCAGUGGAAUUCCGAGUGUAGAGGUGAAAUUCGUAGAUAUUCGGAAGAACACCAGUGGCGAAGGCGACUGACUGGACAAGUAUUGACGCUGAGGUGCGAAAGCGUGGGGAGCAAACAGGAUUAGAUACCCGGGUAGUCCCUGUCUCUUAUAC
rnacentral:rRNA from 1 species